AUUGAACGCUGGCGGCAUGCUUUACACAUGCAAGUCGAACGGCAGCGCGGGCUUCGGCCUGGCGGCGAGUGGCGAACGGGUGAGUAAUACAUCGGAACGUGCCCAGUAGUGGGGGAUAGCUCGGCGAAAGCCGGAUUAAUACCGCAUACGACCUGAGGGUGAAAGCGGGGGAUCUUCGGACCUCGCGCUAUUGGAGCGGCCGAUGGCAGAUUAGCUAGUUGGUGGGGUAAAGGCCUACCAAGGCGACGAUCUGUAGCUGGUCUGAGAGGACGACCAGCCACACUGGGACUGAGACACGGCCCAGACUCCUACGGGAGGCAGCAGUGGGGAAUUUUGGACAAUGGGCGAAAGCCUGAUCCAGCAAUGCCGCGUGUGUGAUGAAGGCCUUCGGGUUGUAAAGCACUUUUGGCGGGAACGAAAAGGACUGUGCCAAUACCACGGUUCGAUGACGGUACCCGCAGAAUAAGCACCGGCUAACUACUUG
rnacentral:rRNA from 1 species